ACCUCGAUGUCGGCUCGUCGCAUCCUGGGGCUGGAGUAGGUCCCAAGGGUUGGGCUGUUCGCCCAUUAAAGCGGCACGCGAGCUGGGUUUAGAACGUCGUGAGACAGUUCGGUCUCUAUCCGCCGCGCGCGUUAGAAACUUGAGGAAGGCUGUCCCUAGUACGAGAGGACCGGGACGGACGAACCUCUGGUGUGCCAGUUGUUCCGCCAGGAGCACCGCUGGUUAGCUACGUUCGGAAGGGAUAACCGCUGAAAGCAUCUAAGCGGGAAGCCUGUUCCAAGAUGAGGUUUCUCACCCCCUCGAGGGGGUAAGGCCCCCGGCAGACCACCGGGUUGAUAGGCCAGAACUGGAAGUGCAGUAAUGCAUGCAGGUGACUGGUACUAAUAGGCCGAGGACUUACCACAA
rnacentral:rRNA from 1 species